rnacentral:rRNA from 1 species
CACCUGACCCCAUGCCGAACUCAGUAGUGAAACGAAACAGCGCCGAUGAUAGUGUAGCAUUUGUUAUGUGAAAGUAGGACAUUACCAGGAU